GUGGCAAACGUAGCGGUGCUGGAAAUUUGAAGGUAAAACCAGAAGUUCCGAGGAACUACAGGAUGUUACGGGCUGGGGCGUGUUAACACCGCGCGUUGCCCAGUGUAGCUGACCAAUACCACAAAAAGCAGAAAGGCGAUUUGGGCUUACCUUUCUGUUAUUAGCGAAUCGCAUCGUUCGCCUUCUAAGGCUGAAUGGGGAAGGAGAGAUAGUAGUGAUAAGAAAAAGAUGGAUUGAAGACUAUUGUAAAUAAGAGUAGGACAAACGGCCAUUGGGAAAUACCCGUAGAAGUUGGUUGCUCCGGCUAAUUAAAUUUAAAGCAUAUUUGGUAGUGAAUUUCGUAAAUUGAAGUAGUUUCGGACACAGUUUCCAAAUCGUUGUAUCCAGUACCCAGUUCGCAUCGACGGUAUCCUAGAAGGGAAGAAAAUUGAAGUAAAUUACUCUGUGGUAGUUGUAAGUAAACUUAUAGAUAGAACUAAGGAAAAUAUUAAUCAUGAAUUUGAUGUAUUAGGAGCGAAAGUAGGCGAAGAAGUUGGAAAGUUGGAAGUGAAGAUAAGCUGUACGGAAGUGGUCUAGGGCGUAAAGGAGAAACCAA